GACGAACGCUGGCGGCGUGCUUAACACAUGCAAGUCGAACGGAAAGGCCCUGCUUUUGUGGGGUGCUCGAGUGGCGAACGGGUGAGUAACACGUGAGUAACCUGCCCUUGACUUUGGGAUAACUUCAGGAAACUGGGGCUAAUACCGGAUAGGAGCUCCUGCUGCAUGGUGGGGGUUGGAAAGUUUCGGCGGUUGGGGAUGGACUCGCGGCUUAUCAGCUUGUUGGUGGGGUAGUGGCUUACCAAGGCUUUGACGGGUAGCCGGCCUGAGAGGGUGACCGGCCACAUUGGGACUGAGAUACGGCCCAGACUCCUACGGGGGGCAGCAGUUGGGAAUAUUGCACAAUGGGCGGAAGCCUGAUGCAGCAACGCCGCGUGCGGGAUGACGGCCUUCGGGUUGUAAACCUCUUUCGCCUGUGACGAAGCGUGAGUGACGGUAAUGGGUAAAGAAGCACCGGCUAACUACGUG
rnacentral:rRNA from 1 species